rnacentral:rRNA from 1 species
UACGUAGGGUGCAAGCGUUAAUCGGAAUUACUGGGCGUAAAGCGUGCGCAGGCGGUUUGGUAAGACAGAUGUGAAAUCCCCGGGCUUAACCUGGGAAUUGCGAUGAAGACUGCAAGGCUUGAAUCUGGCAGAGGGGGGUAGAAUUCCACGUGUAGCAGUGAAAUGCGUAGAGAUGUGGAGGAACACCGAUGGCGAAGGCAGCCCCCUGGGUCAAGAUUGACGCUCAUGCACGAAAGCGUGGGGAGCAAACAGG